UACGUAGGUGGCAAGCGUUGUCCGGAUUUACUGGGCGUAAAGAGCGCGCAGGCGGUCGUUCAAGUCGCGUGUGAAAGCCCCCGGCUCAACUGGGGAGGGUUACGCGAUACUGAUCGACUCGAAGGCAGGAGAGGGAAGUGGAAUUCCCGGUGUAGUGGUGAAAUGCGUAGAUAUCGGGAGGAACACCAGUGGCGAAGGCGACUUCCUGGCCUGUUCUUGACGCUGAGGCGCGAAAGCGUGGGGAGCGAACAGGA
rnacentral:rRNA from 1 species